GAUGAACGCUGGCGGCGUGCCUAAUACAUGCAAGUCGAGCGAACGGACGAGAAGCUUGCUUCUCUGAUGUUAGCGGCGGACGGGUGAGUAACACGUGGAUAACCUACCUAUAAGACUGGGAUAAAUUCGGGAAACCGGAGCUAAUACCGGAUAAUAUUUUGAACCGCAUGGUUCAAAAGUGAAAGACGGUCUUGCUGUCACUUAUAGAUGGAUCCGCGCUGCAUUAGCUAGUUGGUAAGGUAACGGCUUACCAAGGCAACGAUGCAUAGCCGACCUGAGAGGGGGAUAGGCCACACUGGAACUGAGACACGGUCCAGACUCCUACGGGAGGCAGCAGUAGGGAAUCUUCCGCAAUGGGCGAAAGCCUGACGGAGCAACGCCGAGUGAGUGAUGAAGGUCUUCGGAUCGUAAAACUCUGUUAUUAGGGAAGAACAUAUGUUUAAGUAACUGUGCACAUCUUGACGGUACCUAAUCAGAAAGCCACGGCUAACUACGUG
rnacentral:rRNA from 1 species